ACACUCCUACGGGAGGCAGCAGUGGGGAAUAUUGCACAAUGGGCGCAAGCCUGAUGCAGCCAUGCCGCGUGUGUGAAGAAGGCCUUCGGGUUGUAAAGCACUUUCAGCGGGGAGGAAGGCGAUACGGUUAAUAACCGUGUUGAUUGACGUUACCCGCAGAAGAAGCACCGGCUAACUCCGUGCCAGCAGCCGCGGUAAUACGGAGGGUGCAAGCGUUAAUCGGAAUUACUGGGCGUAAAGCGCACGCAGGCGGUCUGUCAAGUCGGAUGUGAAAUCCCCGGGCUCAACCUGGGAACUGCAUUCGAAACUGGCAGGCUUGAGUCUUGUAGAGGGGGGUAGAAUUCCAGGUGUAGCGGUGAAAUGCGUAGAGAUCUGGAGGAAUACCGGUGGCGAAGGCGGCCCCCUGGACAAAGACUGACGCUCAGGUGCGAAAGCGUGGGGAGCAAACAGGAUUAGAAACCCUGGUAGUCCC
rnacentral:rRNA from 1 species